rnacentral:rRNA from 1 species
CAAUAGCGUAUAUUAAAGUUGUUGCAGUUAAAAAGCUCGUAGUUGGAUUUCUGGUAGGAUGACUGUGCCCUCAGUAGAGUGUGCGCUGGCGUCUUGCCAUCCUUCUGUUAACCUUUGGGAGCUUCACCGCUCCCUUUGGGGCUCAGAUAUUUUACCUUGAGAAAAUUAGAGUGUUUCAGGCAGGCUAGCGCCGGAAUACAUUAGCAUGGAAUAAUGGAAUAGGACUUUUGCCUCUUCUGUUGGUCAUGGGGUUCGAGUAAUGAUUAAUAGGGAUAGUUGGGGGCAUUAGUACUUCACUGUCAGAGGUGAAAUUCUCGGAUUUGUGAAAGACUAACUUAUGCGAAAGCAUUUGCCAAGGAUGUUUNCAUUAA